UACGGGGGGGGCAAGCGUUGUUCGGAAUUACUGGGCGUAAAGGGCGCGUAGGCGGCCACCGCAAGUCGACUGUGAAAUCUCUGGGCUUAACCCAGAAAGGUCAGCCGAUACUGCGGGGCUAGAGUGCAGAAGGGGCAACUGGAAUUCCUGGUGUAGCGGUGAAAUGCGCAGAUAUCAGGAGGAACACCGGUGGCGAAGGCGGGUCUCUGGGCAGUAACUGACGCUGAGGAGCGAAAGCGUGGGGAGCGAACAGG
rnacentral:rRNA from 1 species